GGGUCAGUAGGUUGGUCGUGCCACCGGUACGUACUGGUCUCACUGAUUCCUCCUUCCUGAAGAACCGUAAUGCCGUUAAUUUGGUGUUGCGGGGAAACAGGACUGUUACUUUGAAAAAAUUAGAGUGUUUAAAGCAAGCCAACGCUUGAAUACAUUAGCAUGGAAUAAUGAAAUAGGACGAUCGAUCCUAUUUUGUUGGUUUCUAGGAUUGACGUA
rnacentral:rRNA from 1 species